rnacentral:rRNA from 1 species
CUACGGGGCGCAGCAGUGGGGAAUAUUGGACAAUGGGGGAAACCCUGAUCCAGCAAUGCCGCGUGUGUGAAGAAGGCCUGCGGGUUGUAAAGCACUUUCGGUUGGGAGGACUGCUUCUAGCACUAAUAUUGUUGGAAGUUGACGUUACCUUCAGAAGAAGCACCGGCUAACUCCGUGCCAGCAGCCUCGGUAAUACGGAGGGUGCAAGCGUUAAUCGGAAUUACUGGGCGUAAAGCGCGCGUAGGCGGCUAGAUCAGUCGGGUGUGAAAGCCCCGGGCUUAACCUGGGAACUGCAUCCGAUACUGUCUAGCUUGAGUACAGGAGAGGAGAGUGGAAUUCCACAUGUAGCGGUGAAAUGCGUAGAUAUGUGGAGGAACACCAAUGGCGAAGGCAGCUCCCUGGCCUGAUACUGACGCUGAGGUGCGAAAGCGUGGGGAGCAAACAGGAUUAGAUACCCCUGUAGUC